UGAUAGCGAUGAAGCGUGAGGUUGCCGCCUGCAAAUGGCGGGUUUUCCGUGGAGCGAAUGUCAAGUUAGGAAACUGGCGACAA
rnacentral:ncRNA from 1 species